CAUCUGUGCAAGUCAGCUAUGGAUUUUCAGCUUUUGUGAUUGGGGCUAGGCCUGUGCAGAAGGGAAUGAAUUGAUUAGAGACUCUGGCACUGAGUAUCAGAUUUUGCAGGACAUACAGUAUGUUCCUCCAGAGCUACAUAAGAAAUGGAAAGAAUUCACAGCUCACUUCUUUCACUGAGUGAUGAGAAAAUCCAGGCUCAUUAAAUGGCACAACAUAUUUGAUGAAGGAGAGAGAAGCAGCCCAUCGUCUGAUACCAUCCUGAUGUGCAGGAGGAUGCAGAGCAGUUGUGCAUGGGGAGUUUGAGUGGCAUCGACAGACAGG
ensembl:lncRNA